UACGAAGGGGGCAAACGUUGCUCGGAAUUACUGGGCGUAAAGCGUGCGCAGGCGGUGAUGUAAGACAGUUGUGAAAUCCCCGGGCUCAACCUGGGAACUGCAUCUGUGACUGCAUCGCUGGAGUGCGGCAGAGGGGGAUGGAAUUCCGCGUGUAGCAGUGAAAUGCGUAGAUAUGCGGAGGAACACCGAUGGCGAAGGCAAUCCCCUGGGCCUGCACUGACGCUCAUGCACGAAAGCGUGGGGAGCAAACAGG
rnacentral:rRNA from 1 species